rnacentral:miRNA from 1 species
CUAGAAAUUACUUUUUGGAAUACAAAAUUUACUAUUCCAAAAACUAUUUUCUAUAAUAAUAAAAUUAGUGUUCCAAAAAGUAUUUUCUGG